rnacentral:rRNA from 2 species
UGGGGAAUAUUGGACAAUGGGCGCAAGCCUGAUCCAGCCAUACCGCGUGGGUGAAGAAGGCCUUCGGGUUGUAAAGCCCUUUUGUUGGGAAAGAAAAGCAGCCGGUUAAUACCCGGUUGUUCUGACGGUACCCAAAGAAUAAGCACCGGCUAACUUCGUGCCAGCAGCCGCGGUAAUACGAAGGGUGCAAGCGUUACUCGGAAUUACUGGGCGUAAAGCGUGCGUAGGUGGUUGUUUAAGUCUGUCGUGAAAGCCCUGGGCUCAACCUGGGAAUUGCGAUGGAAACUGGGCGACUAGAGUGUGGCAGAGGAUAGUGGAAUUCCUGGUGUAGCAGUGAAAUGCGUAGAGAUCAGGAGGAACAUCCGUGGCGAAGGCGACUGUCUGGGCCAACACUGACACUGAGGCACGAAAGCGUGGGGAGCAAACA